rnacentral:misc_RNA from 1 species
GUAACAAGGUUUCUGUAGGUGAACCUGCAGAAGGAUCAUUAGUGAAAGUUUCGGGCCUGCCAUACGGACGCAAACACGUCUCUGGCGCCCAUCACUAUAUCCAUACCAACCCCUGUGCACUGUGAUGACGAAUGUCAUCGAACAAAAAAAAACUCGUAUGGUUGAAUGUACGUGAAAUUGUAGGUAUAGCCUACGAACUAUACACAACUUUCGACAACGGAUCUCUUGGUUCUCCCAUCGAUGAAGAACGCAGCGAAACGCGAUAGGUAAUGUGAAUUGCAGAAUUCCGUGAAUCAUCGAAUCUUUGAACGCACCUUGCGCUCCAUGGUAUUCCGUGGAGCAUGCCUGUUUGAGUGCCGCGAAUUCUCCCUCCCCUUACGGUGGCCGAAAGGCCGAAGUAGGGCGGACGGGGUAGGAUGGGUGUUUGCUGCCUGGGGAUUGUACCAGGCUCGCCCGAAAUGCAUAAGCGCCAGGACCCUCGCUACCGCUCUCUAGGGAAGAGUGGCUAAGCGACCGCUGAGCAUGGCAUGAUACGUCAUUUGCUGUGUGUGGGCGGCCGGUUGGAGAGGUGUCUGCUUUACCAGCCCUAUUUUAAUUCUGGUCUCAAAUCAGGUAGGAUCACCCGCUGAACCUAAGCAUAU